UAGGGAAUAUUGGACAAUGGGCGCAAGCCUGAUCCAGCCAUCCCGCGUGAAGGAUUAAGGUCCUAUGGAUUGUAAACUUCUUUUCUCUGGGAAUAAAAAGUGGGAUUCAUUCCUGCCUUGAAGGUACCAGAGGAAUAAGCACCGGCUAACUCCGUGCCAGCAGCCGCGGUAAUACGGAGGGUGCAAGCGUUAUCCGGAUUCACUGGGUUUAAAGGGUGCGUAGGUGGCUUUGUAAGUCAGUGGUGAAAUAUUACGGCUCAACCGUAAAACUGCCAUUGAUACUGCUUAGCUUGAAUCAGGUCGAGGUGGAUGGAAUAUUACAUGUAGCGGUGAAAUGCUUAGAUAUGUAAUAGAACACCGAUUGCGAAGGCAGUUCACUAGGCCUGAAUUGACACUGAGGCACGAAAGCGUGGGGAUCAAACAGGAUUAGAUACCCCCGUAGUCC
rnacentral:rRNA from 1 species